GACGAACGCUGGCGGCGUGCCUAAUACAUGCAAGUUGAGCGAUGAAGAUUGGUGCAUGCACCAACUUGCAGUGCAGCGAACGGGUGAGUAACGCGCGGGGAAUCGGCCUUUGAGCGGGGGACAGCAUUGGGAGACGAAUGCCAAUACUGCAUAAUCACUUUAAACAUACGUUUUAAGUUUGAAAGAUGCAAUUGCAUCACUCAAAGAUGAUCCCGCGUUGUAUUAGCUAGUUGGUGAGGUAAAGGCUCACCAAGGCGAUGAUGCAUAGCCGACCUGAGAGGGUGGUCGGCCGGUGCGGGACUGAGACACGGCCCGAACGCCUGCGGGGGGCCGCAGUAGGGAAUCGUCGGCAAUGGACGAAAGUCUGACCGAGCGACGCCGCGGGAGUGAAGGAGGAGUUCGGCUCGUUACACUCUGUUGGUAGAGAAGAACGAUGGUGGGAUUGGAGCGCUCAUCAAGUGACGGUAGCUGCCCAGAAAGGGACGGCCAACUACGUG
rnacentral:rRNA from 1 species